rnacentral:lncRNA from 1 species
UUAAUUCAAGCAUGGAAGUAUUAUAUAUCAGGAAGUUUACUUAUCUUUUCACAUGACAUGGUAAUUUGGAAAGGUUAUUUGAUCACGUGAGCCAUAUUUUAUUUUCAAAGUUAUCAGACUUAUUAUUCAAGUGGGCAACAUUAAUAUUGGAAGCCGCAUGUUUCAAUCUAUUUGUUUUGGGUGGGCCCCGGUUUUUUUUAAUCAUCAAGUUGCUGCCAUCAUCAAGCUGCUGGACCAUUUGGUUUAUAAAGGAAGCUGGACAAUAUCAAUUCUAGUAGUACUCGGAUUGUGGUCAAUGGAUUGACAGCUUUUCAUGCGGCAACAAAUCUUUUUCUCGGCAAUUGCAAUUCUAAGUAUUAAAUUUUAAAUUCUAUUAUAAUUAGGAUUUCUUUUAAUUAGAAUUUCUUUUUCAAAUUGGUUUCUAUUUCCUUAUAGAAAUUAGGGUUAUAACUUAUAAAUUCUUAUUAGGAUUUGGAUUGUUUUGAGUACUAUAAAUAGAGGUCCAAGUUAUGUAAUCAAUAUACAAUAUACAUUAUUCAUUAUUCAAUAUAUUUGUGAGGUUAUUCUCUACUUUUGGUUCUUUGAAGAAUUCCUAAGUAUUUUCUUAGUUAUUUCUUUGAGAUUCAAUUUGACUUAUCAUACAACAAUUCAUAGUUGUGUGUGGCGUCUUCUACCGCAUCAAUCGUCGAUUGUACCGAGAUUACCGCUUCAAUAUAAGCGAGGGGUCAAGGUGUCGUUGGUGUCCAUUCAACGCAGAAUUCCGAACGCGAGCAAUUGUACCAAGAUUACCGUCUACAUAUAGGCGAGGGGUUAAGGUGUUGCAAGCAAUCCAUCUUACAACUUUGCUAGAAACGAUCGGGGCGGCGACCACCUCACGCAAGCGUGCCGUGGAGUCUAUCAAAGUGAGAUUCACUCACCAUCAAGGGUGAAACAACAGGAACAAUAGACAAAUCAUCCUCAUUGGAGGAGUAGAAAUUAUCUGACA